GGCAACUCCGUGCCGGCAGCCUGGGUAAUACUGAGGAUCCAAUGGUUAUCCGGAAUCAUUGGGUUUAAAGGGUCCGUAGGCGGCCUUAUAAGUCAGCGGUGAAAGUUUUUGGCUUAACCAAAAAAUUGCCAUUGAUACUGUAGGGCUUGAAUAUUUGUGAAGUAACUAGAAUAUGUAGUGUAGCGGUGAAAUGCUUAGAUAUUACAUGGAAUACCAAUUGCGAAGGCAGGUUACUAACAAAUGAUUGACGCUGAUGGACGAAAGCGUGGGUAGCGAACAGGAUUAGAUACCCCAGUAGUC
rnacentral:rRNA from 1 species